rnacentral:rRNA from 1 species
UACGGAGGGUGCAAGCAUUAAUCGGAUUUAUUGGGCGUAAAGGGCGCGUAGGCGGGCAUGUAAGUCAGAUGUGAAAUCCCGGAACUCAAUUUCGGAACAGCAUUUGAAACUGCAUAUCUUGAGGGUAGGCGGAGAAAAUGGAAUUCCACAUGUAGCGGUGAAAUGCGUAGAUAUGUGGAGGAACACCGGUGGCGAAAGCGGUUUUCUAGCUUAUUCCUGACGCUGAGGCGCGAAAGCAAGGGGAGCAAACAGG